rnacentral:tRNA from 1 species
GCGGCUGUAGCUCAGCUGGAUAGAGCAUCUGGCUACGAACCAGGGGGUCGGGGGUUCGAAUCCUCCCAGCCGCG